UACGAGGGGGGCAAGCGUUGUUCGGAUUCAUUGGGCGUAAAGGGCGCGUAGGCUGCGGGGCAAGUCGGGUGUGAAAUCUCAGAGCUCAACUCUGAAACUGCACUCGAUACUGCUUUGCUUGAGGACUGGAGAGGAGAUUGGAAUUCACGGUGUAGCAGUGAAAUGCGUAGAUAUCGUGAGGAAGACCAGUGGCGAAGGCGGAUCUCUGGACAGUUCCUGACGCUGAGGCGCGAAGGCCAGGGGAGCAAACGGG
rnacentral:rRNA from 1 species